CCUACGGGUGACAGCAGUGAGGAAUAUUGGUCAAUGGACGAGAGUCUGAACCAGCCAAGUAGCGUGAAGGAUGACUGCCCUAUGGGUUGUAAACUUCUUUUAUAAAGGAAUAAAACGCGGCACGCUUGCCUCUUUGCAUGUACUUUAUGCAUAAGGAUCGUCUAACUCCGUGCCAGCAGCCGCGGUAAUACGGCGGAUCCGAGCGUUAUCCGGAUUUCUUGGGUUUAAAGGGGGCGUAGAUGGGUUGUGCAGUCAAUGGUUAAAGUUGGCGGCUCAACCGUAAAAUUGCAAUUGAUACUGGCAGUCUUGAGUACGAUUGAAGUAGGCGGAAGUCGUGGUGUAGCGGUGAAAGGCUUAGAUAUCACGAAGAACCCCGAUUGCGAAGGCAGCUUACUAAACUGUGACUGACAUUGAUGCACGAAAGUGUGGGUAUCAAACAGGAUUAGAUACCCUUGUAGUC
rnacentral:rRNA from 1 species